rnacentral:rRNA from 1 species
UACGAAGGGGGCUAGCGUUGCUCGGAAUCACUGGGCGUAAAGGGUGCGUAGGCGGGUCUUUAAGUCAGGGGGUGAAAUCCUGGAGCUCAACUCCAGAACUGCCUUUGAUACUGAGGAUCUUGAGUUCGGGAGAGGUGAGUGGAACUGCGAGUGUAGAGGUGAAAUUCGUAGAUAUUCGCAAGAACACCAGUGGCGAAGGCGGCUCACUGGCCCGAGUACUGACGCUGAGGCACGAAAGCGUGGGGAGCAAACAGG